rnacentral:tRNA from 1 species
CCGAUCAUAGCUCAGUUGGUAGAGCGCCUGACUGUAGAGUUUACGCAGCUAUCAGGCGGUCUCUGGUUCGAAUCCGGAUGAUCGGA